GUGAUUUGGCAGCACAUAUACUAAAACUGGAACAAUACAGAGAAGAUUAGCACGGGCUCUGCGCAAGGAUGACACGCAAAUUUGUGAAGCGUUGCUUAUUUUU
ensembl:snRNA U6 U6 spliceosomal RNA